rnacentral:tRNA from 1 species
GGAACUGUAGUUCAGUGGUAGAGCACUUGCCUAGCAUGCAUGAAGCCCUGAAUUCAAUUCCAAGCACUGCCA